rnacentral:lncRNA from 1 species
CUUGUACCCAUUCCUUUUUUAUCUUCCCAUCUUAGAACAUGAAUUAGUCACCUUCAGAGCACCCCUCUACCUGAUCUGCACUCUGUUUACUGAACUGUUUGUGCCUUGAGGUUGACAGCCUUCCAGGGUGGGAAUUUUGGCUACUUGGCCAGGGGUGUCAGAUGUCUCCUUGGUUGUGAAAUUACUCAGCCUGCUUACUAUGAGCAGCAUCAUGGCACCUUUUCCCUGAAGGACUCAGGCAGUCUUCGUACUCUUCCAAAGAAGAUCUAGACAAUUGAAUCUCAAUUCCUGGGCAGAAUGAACCAGAAGAUAGAACACCAGAUAUUUUUCUUUUCUGGAUUCAUAGGAAGCAGUAGAGUUGAAUCAGCAGUUCAAACUAGAGGUCAAAACUCCAGUUCUGCCUAGACCAGAUUUUCUUGGGAAAGUGAUUUCAAUGUACCAUCAUUCUCUUUUUUUGGAAGAGUAGGGGAAUGAAGGUGAUAGUGAAGGUUCCUGGUGGGUUCUUUAAAAAGUCCAGCCCUUUUAGUUUUCCAUCACUAAAUUUCCAUAAAGCAUGACUCACAGAAUGGAAAUGCUGGAAUGGAUGUAUUGUAGCAAUCAGAUUCCAACUAUAAUCUGACAUAUGAGCUU